rnacentral:ncRNA from 1 species
UAUAAAAUUUUUUAUAGUUUAAAAAUUUAUUAUAAGUUUAUUUUACAUAUAAAUUUUAGUGUUAAUUUUUAAUUUAUUUAAAUAAUAAUUAAUUAUUUGUUUGUAGUAAUUAAAAUUAAAAAUUUAAGAAAUUAAGAUUUAGUAAUAUUUAAAUUAAUAACUAAUUUUGUGCCAGCAGUUGCGGUUAUACAAAAAUUAAAUUAAAUUUUUUUAGGAAUUAAUAAAUAAUUUAUUAUUAAUACAUAUAUAAAAUUAAAAUUUAGAUUAUUAAGUGAAAUUUUAAUUAAAAAAAAUUUUUAUAUAAAAUUAUGAUUUAAAAAAUUUUAUUAAAAACUAGGAUUAGAUACCCUGUUAUUAAAAAUUUAAAUUAAUAAUACUAAAAUAGUAUAUAAUUAUUUAUAAAAACUUAAAUAAUUUGGCGGUAUUUUAGUUUAUUUAGAGGAAUCUGUUUAUUAAUUGAUAUUCCACGAAUAAAUUUACUUGAUUUAUUUAUUUUGUAUAUCGUUGUUAUAAAAAUAUUUUUAAAUAAUAUAAUAAUAUUUUAAUUUUUUAAUUUAAAGUUAAAUCAGAUCAAGAUGCAGAUUAUAAUUAAGAAUAUAAUGGAUUACAAUAAAUUUAUUUAAUUGGAUAUUAUUUUUAAAAAUUAAUUGAAAUUGGAUUUAAAUGUAAUUUUAUUUAAUUUAUUAAAAUGAUCUUAAUUUAAAAUAUGUACAUAUUGCCCGUCGCUUUCAUUUAUAAAUUGAAAUAAGUCGUAACAAAGUAGAGGUACUGGAAAGUGUUUCUAGAAAGAA